GCCAUGGUAGCUCAUUUGGAAAAGCACUGGACUCAAAAUCCAAGUAUAGCAAGUUUGAUACCUUUCCAUGCCA